rnacentral:rRNA from 1 species
UUGGAGGGCAAGUCUGGUGCCAGCAGCUGCGGUAAUUCCAGCUCCAAUAGCGUAUAUUAAAGUUGUGCAGUUAAAAAGCUCAUAGUUGAAUUUCGGGAUCAAUAUGUUGGUUGUGCCUUGGUACGUACUAGUUUAUUGGUUUCUUCCUUCUGACGAACCAUGAUGUCAUUAAUUUGGUGUCAUGGGGAAUCAGGACUGUUACUUUGAAAAAAUUAGAGUGUUUAAAGCGGGUUUCACGCUUGAAUACAUUAGCAUGGAAUAAUGAAAUAAGACAUUUGAUUCUAUUUUGUUGGUUUCUAGGAUCGAUGUAAUGAUUAAUAGGGAUAGUUGGGGGCAUUAGUAUUCAAUUGUCAGAGGUGAAAUUCUUGGAUUUAUUGAAGACUAACUACUGCGAAAGCAUUUGCCAAGGAUGUUUUCAUUAAUCAAGAACAAAAGUUAGAGGAUCGAAGACGAUCAGAUACCAUCGUAGUCUUAACCAUAAACUAUGCUGACUAGGGAUUGGAUGAUGUUAAUUUUUUAAUGACUCAUUCGGCGCCUUACGGGAAAC